rnacentral:RNase_P_RNA from 1 species
GCGAGCCGGUGGGUGGCUGCCGGGCGAAAGCCUGAGGAAACUCCGUCCACCGGGCAGGACCGCGAGCCCGCAAGGGCUAGGCCGGGAGGCCUGCUCCUGAAACAGAAACGAAACCCGCCACUCUGAACGAUGAUGCGAAAGCUGAGAUGGAGUGGAGAGGGAUGAAACGGUCAGUCCGCGGGGUGCAAGGACAAGCACCGCCUAUGAGCCCCUGCCUGAGGCGGGGGUAGUCCGCUUAGUCAAAUGCCACCUAAAACAGAAG